AUGCUGGAGCACGUGAGAGUUCUGAAUUUGCCCUUAAACCUACAAGCAGACUGAAUGUUUCUGCUGUAGCUGCACACCUGGCUUCUUGAACUGAAGAGAUUUUCAGCCAAAAGCGGGGCACAGCGCCAAUAAGCUGCCUUCUCUCCAGAGACCACUUGGACUAUUGUGGAUGGAUCCAGGCACCUGGAUACUCCAAAAGAUGUUGGUGGUAAUGCAACAGCUGCCCACCCGGCUGACAUCAGGGGCCUCCAGAACUGAAAGCAUGAGCUAAAAAGCCAGCCUUGCGAGAUGGGGCUGGAGCAGACUCCCAUCCUCUGGGGCUCAGGCACAGAAGGGAAGGCUGUGUUCAUUAUGGAAGAUCUCUCGCUGCUGAGGGUGAGCACGGAAUCAAGGGAGGGUCUUCUCCAAGACUGCAGCUUCCACCCUGGCCCCUAUGUGGCUCACCUGUGUGCAGCAAUGGUCCCCCCGCCAUGACGGCACAGUGGCACGGGAAAGUUACCCUUAAUGGGGCAAGGAACAAAGCAGCUCUGCCGAAGAACCUGCGGCAACGGAUUGCCCCGUAUCUCCGUGAGCGUUUCAUGGAGAUCUCUGAGUCAGAUUCCCGUGAAGUGAUAGAGAGAGGCCAAAAAUCAAAAGUCUAAAAGUUAGAAUCGUUACUAGGCUGAACAGAAUUGACAUCAAGUCAUCAAUCUAUUGUCUAGUCUUGAUUUUGUUUAGAGUUCUUUUCAUGCUGCUU